AGAAUGUCGCGGUGAAUACGUUCCCGGGCCUUGUACACACCGCCCGUCACACCAUGAGAGUCGAUAACACCCGAAGCCUGUGAGCUAACCGUAAGGAGGCAGCAGUCGAAGGGUGGGGGGUUUGAUGAUUUGGGGGUGAAGUCGUAACAAGGUAAC
rnacentral:rRNA from 1 species